rnacentral:misc_RNA from 1 species
CCGAGUGCGGGCCCUCUGGGUCCAACCUCCCAUCCGUGUCUCUUGUACCCUGUUGCUUCGGCGGGCCCGCCUUUUGGCCGCCGGGGGGCUUCCCGCCCCCGGGCCCGCGCCCGCCGGAGACUCCAACACGAACACUGUCUGAAGGUUGCCGUCUGAGUUUUCAUAUACGAAAAAUCGUUA